rnacentral:rRNA from 1 species
GCGUGAGUGAAGAAGGCCUUCGGGUUGUAAAGCUCUUUCACCCGCGAAGAUGAUGACGGUAGCGGGAGAAGAAGCCCCGGCUAACUCCGUGCCAGCAGCCGCGGUAAUACGGAGGGGGCUAGCGUUGUUCGGAAUUACUGGGCGUAAAGGGCGUGUAGGCGGCUUUGUAAGUUAGGCGUGAAAGCCCCGGGCUUAACCUGGGAACUGCGCUUAAAACUGCGAGGCUAGAGAUCGGGAGAGGAGAGUGGAAUUCCCAGUGUAGAGGUGAAAUUCGU